rnacentral:tRNA from 1 species
GGAUGUGGCUCAGUGGUAGAGCACUCACCUAGCGCGUGCGAGGCCCUGGGUUUGAUUCUCAGCACCA